rfam:Alligator sinensis unplaced genomic scaffold scaffold802_1, whole genome shotgun sequence
GGCUUGUUGGUCUAGGGGUAUGAUUCUUGCUUCAGUAGCGAGAUGUUCUGGGUUCAAAUCCUAGAUGAGCCC